CUGGGAUGAAAAUUUUGUCUAGACUUGUUGAGUUCAAAAUUUUGGUUAAUUGGGGAUUGGUCCAUUGAAGCCAUAUUACAGUUGAAGCCAUAUUUGAACGUGAUAUAUGCAAAUUACGGAAGGAAAUAGAAUUAAAUCAUGUUGGCGAUUUCUGGCCAUGAGCCAAAUAUAGUUCGUCUUCAGUAUUAAAACAAUGAAUUGCACAUGAUUAAACUUGUUCAUAGUCGCUGCAUACAUUAAAAUCUUCUUGUAUUUCCCGCUUAAAACUGAGGUCUUGUCUAAUUUGAAAAGAAUUUUAUUGUUUGUGAACAAGUCAGUCAAGCGAUGAUCUAAUUACUACCCGUAAAUUUCAUGAGCAAAAUAAAGAUUUAAAAUCAAGAGGAAAUUUUGUAAAAUCGCCGUAAAAAGGUACGAGAUUUGUUUAAAUAUCGUUAUAUAUAAGUGGAAACGUUAACACAAAUGUAGAUGCGGAAAUAUGGAUAUUCUAAAGUAUAUUUCUGACUUCCAUAAAACGAAAUCUGUGCAUAUUAUGGAUAGCUAAUAUAAUUCGCUCAAAAAAACGUAAAUUGUCAAGCGUGAAAUUCUAG